rnacentral:rRNA from 1 species
AUUGAACGCUGGCGGCGUGCCUAACACAUGCAAGUCGAGCGGUAACAGGUGUAGCAAUACAUGCUGACGAGCGGCGGACGGGUGAGUAACGCUUGGGAAUCUGCCUAUCAGUGGGGGACAACCCGGGGAAACUCGGGCUAAUACCGCAUACGAUCUACGGAUGAAAGGCCGGGGACCGCAAGGCCUGGCGCUGAUAGAUG